CACAAAUAUUCACAGAACGAAUAAACAGACUGUUUGAUACAUUAAACCGAAGGCAUCCAGCCGAGGGUAUCAAACAUAAAAGUCAUGAUUUUGUUGUAUUAGAAAAUACUAAAGUAUGGCUUGAUUUAUGGGAAGACCAUGUACUUAAUCAUUCUAUUCCUGAAGAAGAAUUUUUAUCAAAAUCGACUGCUGAAGGUCUGCGUGUUACCAUAAAAUCAGUAAUAGAGUUAUCCAAGCACCUUUUGGAAGAAUACGGAUUUAAAUAUGUUUUAACUUAAAAAAUGAACCAGGAUAAACUAGAGCAAUUUUUUGGUAUGGCGAGACAGGCAACUGGUCCGAACGAUCACCCCAAUUGUCCAACAUUCUUACAGGUAUACAAGUUACUAUCAGUAUAUUCCAUAAUAAAGCCUC